rnacentral:rRNA from 1 species
GAGCGGUAUUGUUUCUUCGGAAACGAGAGAGCGGCGCACGGGUGCGGAACACGUGUGCAACCUGCCUUUAUCUGGGGGAUAGCCUUUCGAAAGGAAGAUUAAUACCCCAUAAUAUUUUGAAUGGCAUCAUUUAAAAUUGAAAACUCCGGUGGAUAGAGAUGGGCACGCGCAAGAUUAGAUAGUUGGUAGGGUAACGGCCUACCAAGUCAGUGAUCUUUAGGGGGCCUGAAAGGGUGAUCCCCCACACUGGUACUGAGACACGGACCAGACUCCUACGGGAGGCAGCAGUGAGGAAUAUUGGACAAUGGGUGAGAGCCUGAUCCAGCCAUCCCGCGUGAAGGACGACGGCCCUAUGGGUUGUAAACUUCUUUUGUACAGGGAUAAACCUUUCCACGUGUGGAAAGCUGAAGGUACUGUACGAAUAAGCACCGGCUAACUCCGUG